CCAGAGCCACAGCAACUCGGGAUCCGAGCCGCGUCUGCGACCUGCACCACAGCUCACGGCAACACUGGAUCCUUAACCCACUGAGCAAGGGCAGGGAUCGAACUUGCAACCUCAUGGUUCCUAGUCGGAUUCGUUAAUCACUGCACCACGACGGGAACUCCUAUAUUUUGACGAUUGAUCUUUUGUUUGUUGCAUCUUUUGCAAAUAUUUUCUCCUGUUCUGUGGUUGUCUUUUCAUUCCUUAAUGGUUUCCUUUGCUGCGUACUUAGUAUUAUCUGAAGUCAGGCAGCCUGAUUCCUCUAGCUUUGUUUUUCUUUCUCAAGAUUACUUUGGCUAUUCAGGGCCUUUGGUUGUUACAUGCAAAUUUUAAAAAUUUUCAACAACACAUUUCUUGAUAACUUAUAGACAAAAGAAGUCAUAAAGAAAGUUAGAAAAUAUUCUGGAACUAAAUAUGAAUGAAAACAGGACAUAUAAAAUACUGCUUGGAGAGAAUUUUAUAGCUUUAUACUUUUGAAAGAAAAGAAGAAAGAUUUAAAAUCAUGGAUCAAGUUUUAACUCUAAGAAGCCAGGGAAAGAAGAGAAAAUUAAACCUAAACAAAGGGAAUAUUAAAGGCAUAAUAUGUUAUCAAUUAAAAUAGAAAAUGUAUGAACAAUGAAAAAACCGAUAAAGAUAAAAUUUGGUUAUUUGAAAAGGUUAAAAAAUUGAUAAAUACUAGGUAGACUUAUCAAGAAGAAAGAGACAGAGUGAAAAUUUUGGAAUAGGAAUUGAUUAAGCAAAAUUACUACAGAGCAAAAUUACUAUAGACAUUCAAAGGAUAAAAAGAAAAUGUUACAUACAAAUUUACGCUAGUAAAUUCAACAACCUAAAUAAAACGAGCACAUUUCUUAAAAGGUAUAAAUCAAUAAAACUGACACAAGAAGAAAUGGAAAAUCUGAAUUGACUCAUUUAUGAAAAAUAUUUAAUUAAUAAUUUAAGAUCUUUUCUCUAAUGAAAGUCUAGUUGGCUACAUGGGUGAAUUCUACCAAAUAUUUACAGAAAAAUAAUACCAAUUCUAAAAAAUUUCUUUCAAAAAAAUAGAGAUGAGGAGCUAAUACUUCCCAAUUCAUUUUAUAAGGGCAGAAUUACCUUGAUACCAAAACUAAUGACAUUACAAGAAAAUUACAAAUCAACACCCAUCAUGAGACUAAAGCACUGAAGCAAUUCAGUGACAAAAAGAAAUCCUUUCCAAAUAACAAUGCUGGAACAACUGCAUAAAAGAGUGACUCUCAACAUAUAUAACACAGGACCUAAACCAAUCUAUGCCAAGGAUUCCUGACAAAUCCCCAGAAGUGAGUAAGAGGCAAGGAAGAAUCCUGGUUCUGUGGAUGCCUUGCUUUUGGACCGUUAGCCUCCAGAACUGUGAAAGAAUACAUUUCUGCUGUGUUAAGCAACCCAGUUUGUUACUUUGUUAUGGAUUUCCUAGGAAAUGAAUAUUGGCUUGGGGGGGGAGCUCAUGUAAAAAAGGUUGGGAAACACUGUUCUAUAAGAAAGUAUAGGAGAGCAUAUUUGCAACUUACAGUUAGGUCAAGAUUUCUUAGUUCGAUCCAGACAGCUCUAGUCAUCAUGGAAAAAAUAAUGAAAAACUGAACUUCAUCAAAUUAAACCCUUCUGAUCAUCAAGAGAUCAGACAUUUUAUGAUCACUGUUAAGAAAAUGAAUAGUGAAUUAGCAGACUAAGAGAAAAUAUUUGUAAUAAUGUAUCUGACAAAGGACAUGUCCAGAAUAUAUAAAACACUCCUAAAAUUAAAAAAUAUAGAGACAAUCCAAUUGACUAAUGAAAAAAGACUUGGAUAGAUAGUUUGCAAAGCAAGAUAUUUAAAUAGUUAGUAGCAUGUAAAAAUGCUCAAUAUCCUUAGUCAUAAGAGAAUUGCAAACUGAAACUAUGAUGCAAUACCAUAACUCAUCACUUGUAUGGUACAAUUAAAAAGGCUGAUGACACCUAUAAUUUACAAUAGCCAAGACAUGGAAAAAACCUAAAUUGUAUUACACUUAGUGAAAUCAGUCAGAGAAAGACAAGUAUUCUGUUAUCAUUUAUAUGUGGAAUCUAAAAAGUAAAACAAACAAAUACAUACAACAAAACGGAAACAGACUGACAGAUACAGACAAUGAUCUAGUGGUUAUUAGCGUGGAGAGGGAAAGGGGGAUGGGCAAGACAGGGGUACAGGAUUAAGAGAUACAAACUACUAGGUAUGACACAGAUAUGCAACAAGGAUAUAUUGUACAGCACAGACAACCUAUAGCCAUUAUUUUGUAAUAAUUUUAAAUAAAGUAUAAUCUAUAAAAAUAUUGAAUCACUAUGUUGUACAUCUG
ensembl:lncRNA